rnacentral:rRNA from 1 species
GAUGAACGCUGGCGGCGUGCCUAAUACAUGCAAGUCGAACGAUGAAGCGCCUUCCUUGUUGGUCGGACUGUAUGAGCGGCCAACGGGUGAGUACCACGUGAGUAUCCCUCUCCCUCUUGCUUGACAACCGCAUGACAGUGUGGCUACCACGUGAUAUUUUGGGUCUGUUGCUUGAAUGGUCUAGGACAGUUUUUCUUUCACUUGUGGAUGGGUUCGCGGCACAUUAGCUUGUUGGUGGGGUAAUGGCCUACCAAGGCGGUGACGCGUAGCCGGCCUGAGAGGGUGGACGGUCACAGUAGGACUGAGACACGGCCCAGACUCCUACGGGAGGCAGCAGGGGAGAAUAUUGCAAAGGGGGAGCAAGCCUGAUGCAGCGACGCCGCGGGAGGGAAGGAGGCCUGCGGGUUGAAAACCUCUUUCGCGGGAGAAGCAAGCCUGCAUCGUUUGUGGGUGGGUUGACGGUAGCUGAAUAAGAAGCGCCGGCUAACUACGUG